AGUGAACGCUGGCGGCAGGCCUAACACAUGCAAGUCGAACGGCAGCACAAGAGAGCUUGCUCUCUGGGUGGCGAGUGGCGGACGGGUGAGGAAUACGUCGGAAUCUGCCUAUUUGUGGGGGAUAACGUAGGGAAACUUACGCUAAUACCGCAUACGACCUACGGGUGAAAGCGGAGGACCUUCGGGCUUCGCGCAGAUAGAUGAGCCGACGUCGGAUUAGCUAGUUGGCGGGGUAAAGGCCCACCAAGGCGACGAUCCGUAGCUGGUCUGAGAGGAUGGUAAGCCACACGGGAACUGCGACCCGGGCCAGAUUCCGACGGGAGGGAGAGGUGGGGAAUAUUGGACAAUGGGCGCAAGCCUGAUCCAGCCAUGCCGCGUGGGUGAAGAAGGCCUUCGGGUUGUAAAGCCCUUUUGUUGGGAAAGAAAAGCAGCCGGUUAAUACCCGGUUGUCAUGACGGUACCCAAAGAAUAAGCACCGGCUAACUUCGUGCCAGCAGCCGCCGUAACAC
rnacentral:rRNA from 1 species